AGAGGGUAAGCUGCUGCUGUUGGGAAAGCCUGCAGGGAAGGAGGUUGCAGUCACUCCCCCAGUGGAGUGAGUUGGCAAAUGGAAAACCUAGAGAUGUGGGGGAAGUCAAAUAUGUAGGAAGAAGCCCAGGGAAAUAGUAUGAGGUUUUGCAUGGAAAUCUUUCCUCAGCUCUAAUCAGCAUGCUGCCUAAGGCACCACGUGACAGCCAGAGCGAUGGUAGAGAAUGGCAGUCUUGGUAUUGCCUGGAUCAGUAGUGGUCAAGCUAUUUUUUGGUGGAGGGAAAGGUAGUUUUAAUUUUGCAAAGGACCUGCCACGAGUGUCACCUGGCUGCUGGGGUCCAGACGAUGGCCAGACAUUUUGUAACCUAGCAACUGAUGAUCCACGGGCCCACCCUCUGCAAGAGGCCAGCCAGCUGGUACCGGAUGGAGAGCAAAGAGCUGAGGUGGAGGCCAUGUGACUGGUUUUGCCCGGGAAACACAACAAAGGAUGGAGGGGGAGCAAAUGGGCAUGACAUAAAUUCGGCUGCUGAAAACAUGUCUCAGUCUCCUUUGUGGGUCUGGCAUGGUGAGCCAGGGCUCUGGGACUGACCAAGAUGGACCCAGCUAUAACUUCCUGCUUUCUGUGCUAACAAAGAACUUUUCCAA